CCCUUAUUCAUUUCUGGUUCUCAGUGCUAGUCACAUUCAGUCACAGGAUAGCAACUUUCAAGGCUGGCAUAGAUUAAGAAAUGCUCCUUUCUUCUGUGACCCUUCAACCUAGGAAAUUUCCCCUAGUUCUGCUUCAUAUUCUUUGCUCCCAGCAAUGAGGAUUGUUCUGUCAUUGCUGAUGUAGUAGGCUGCCUCUGCUUGUCCCAUGGAACAUCUGGAUGGCCCCUAUUUUCUGGAGGACACGCCAUCCAGGACUCAGGCUUCAGUUUCCCUUUGGUUUAUCACCUGCUCCUGACACCCUAGGAGAGCCCCAGCAACACCUGGAGCUUACAAGGGAGGGGAAACUAGAGAGGAAGCUAGCCUAGUCCUUAGGACAAAGUAGGCUGUCUUUACGUAUCUAUAGACCUAGGCUAAAAUCCCAUGAACACUUUUUGAAAAUACCAAGAAUCCCGUGCUUUUCUUUAUCCCUACAUGACCCUGAGUGACAGAACAUCAAGGGUCAUGUGAUAAUUACAGUUCACAUUCUGGAGUUCUUGAGCAAUAGGCUAAAUAAACUGCAUUUUGGAAAGACUCUUACCUUUGCUAGUUUUGAUUUUGCCACAGGCAAAGCGGGAAAAGAGGGGUGUAUGUUCCUGGACUGUUUCUCAAUUAGGUCUAUUCGAAAGGUUAUUUAGUGAGAGUUUUUAAGGAUGCUGAAGCCCAUGGAGAGCUAGUGAAUCAGAAUCUUCACAGGGAGAACUUAAGUGUUUGUAUUUGGAGAAACAUCUCCGAGUCAUGCUGGUGAUCAGGCCUGGCAGAAAGUCACUUUAGAUUAUCUGCAAGGUUUUUGUGAUGGAUUCCUCAGAACAAAGUCCAAAAAGUUCUAGAGCUGACCAAUGGAUGAAGGACUUUUUUAAAAGAAUAAAGCUGGCGCUGGGAUGUUUGUCGAAGUUGCCACUUCCUUCAAGUGCCGGAUACAUGUUGUUCAUGUGGAGGCCACCACUAUAAAAUUCCGUAUCCAAAGGAUGCAGAAGGGAGACUUCCCUACCCUGGCCAAUGCCUCAAGUUUCUGCAUACAGCUUGGAUUAUCUGUUUAAAACCCUAUCAUUAAUUAUCCUUUCUUAUUUGCUUCACAGUCACCCAAAUGUGGCAUUUUUUUUCCAAUUAUUUUUUUCCAGGGAAUGCUAAUAUACUAGAUAAAAAAAGUAACAUGUGAUAGUUAAUGGGCAAAAUGCAGCUGAAAAAAGAUUGAAUGCAAACAUAAAUCCUGCAUCCUGUGGUUAUGUGCAAAGUGCUUUGUGGAAGAUCAGUUUACUUCUCUGGACUUCAAAUUUCUAACUGUAAACUGAAUGGAUUACUAUAGCUUAUAAGUUCUUAACGAACGGAUGAGGUUCCAAGUAUCGACAAAUGUAUGAAUUUUUAAUAUGAUUUUAUGAAUAACGAUGUAUGUGCUUGUCUAAUUCAAUUUUUACCACAGGAGAAAGUUCAUAGGUAAAGCUAAUUAAAAUUAGGGUCUCAGUGGAGACAGUAAAUUAGUUAAACAGCUAUAAAAAACGGCGGAGACAGUAAAUUAGUUAAAUAGCAGUAAAAGUUAUAAUAUUGCUUAUUCUUUAAUAUUCUAUAGUUACAUUAACCUGAGUGCUAAUUCAGAAAAAUCUAGAAGAUUUCAAAACUGCAUGGGAGUUCUUUUGUGGCACAGUGGGUUAAGGAUCUGGCACUGUCACCAUAGUGGCUUGGGUUACUACUGUGACAUGGGUUCAACCUCUGGCCUAGGAAUUUCUACAUGCCAUGAGUGUGGCCAAAAAAAAAAAAAUGUAUGGACAUAGUCAUUUGGGAUAUUAAAUUAUACAAUUCAAACCAAAAGUCAUCUUUGGUGACUAAAAUAGUCUAUAUUUUUGCUCCUAUCAAUUUGUGUAACACCAACUAUAUUUUUGUCAAGUUUCCAUAGCAUUUGUUUGAUGAUAACAGAUCAGUGUUAACAGAAUGAACACAUCAAAAUAAAAACCUUCCUUUGGAUGAUAAUUCCACAUAAGCUUGGAACAUUCCCAAUUCUUGGAACAGCCUUAAAGAUGGAGUGAGUCAUGAAAUGUUACCUCCUUUUAGAAUGAGGGAGUUUAGGUGUAUAGAGAAAGACAGGCUCCAAGUCACAUAGAAUAGCAACACUGGAGUAGUCUGUUUCUGACCCCACAGCACUGUGGUCCAACAUAUCAAUGCCAUUCUCUGUAUCUUUCACCACCAUAGCUAGUAAGACCUCUCAGAAAGGAAAGACGUAGCAUCUUUUUAGGAUUCGUUGUGUCACAGGCAGAAGAAGAAAGGAAUUCAUGUAAACAUUCCCCUCCCUGUUCCUUUUUUUCUAGUCAGACUCUUUGGAGAGGUCUAGUUCUCUUCCCGGAUGAGGGUCGUUAUACAAGGUUUUCAAUCUCUUUGAUCCUCAGUUUUUCUUCCUUAUCAAUGUGAGAUGGCUGUAGCUACCUCAUAUGGUGUUGCAAAGUUAAUCUUCAACAGACUCAUCUCCAGCAGGGUAGACACCUUAUCUACAACAAGGGCUGAGUUAUUCUUCUCUAACUUCUUCCUUCACCAUCCUCACUGACCAGUUGCCUCUAGAAGCCAUUUAUCAACUGCAGAAUGUCAUGGAGAGAAUAUACACUCAAACAAUUUUGAAAUUCCAUCCUCAAAUUUCCUUUUCUUCCUGAUUCUCCCAAUUUUGUGACUCUCCUAGAGAACUGCUUCUCCCCACAGUCAUUUCAACUCCUCUUUCUCACAGUCUCUUAGUGCUUCCAGCUGUGUUUCCUCAUUUCCUAUUUGGCUUUCAUGUUCUCCAUUGGACCUGAAGGAGUCUCCAGUUCAUUGGUCACAGAAUUUCUCAGGUCACUAGUCCCAGUUUGUGAAGGGUUUCCCACCUAAUCUGGUUUUUGAGAACCUACAGUUACCUUACAGGGGGGAUGAGCCCAAGUAGCUCCCACUGGACUCAGAAAGCUAGAGGACAGAGGGAAAACACUUGAAUUCCAAGGCUCUUCCUGGCCUGAUCCCAGUAACUAUCCAAUCAAAGUACUUUUUGGCCUCAUAAUUGGAAACACUGUGUCAAUUUCUCCCUAGGUAUUAACAGAUACACACUUAGAGUAGAUCAGUAGUACAAACAUCAUACAGUGUUCAUGCUUUUUAAUAGUGAAACUCAUAAAGGAUGAGUAACAGUGAGUAAAAGGGCUUCGCACACCUUUCCAAGAAGCUGAAAAUGUUACCCUGUUCCAAAACACCAGAACAUGAUUUUUAUAAUACCUUAGUUAAGACUGACCCUAUUUCUCUAUUUUGAUUCUUUUCUCUUUUUUUAAACCUUGUUCAUUUAUUUACUCAUGAAAAUAUUGGAAGAAGGGGAGACAUCUAUUUAAACAGUGUACUAGGCCACAAGUAUUAACAAAUAAUUAAGAUGCAGUUUGUCUCCAAGGAGGAUGGAAUUAGUAGAUCAAGACAGACAUGGACACAAAUGAAUAUCAACACAAUGAAAAAAAGUAUAAUAAGAGAUAUGUAUGCAUGACACAAAGAUGGCAUGGAUGAAGAGGUGGCCAUUUCUUAUGGCAGGAUGAGAGGAAGGGGUUCUUAAUUAGAUGAUUUGAUUGGUUUUUUGAAAAUACAACAAUCAAAUGAUGGAGAAAACUGUGGAGAAGCCACCUGAGACGUUACUGUGAAAUAAACAUGUUACGUUACUUGAUCUUCUGAGGGGAAGGCAGCUAUUGGAAAUUGUUAAACAGGAAAGAAGUCGUUUAGAAUCUUCACUCUAACAACCAGGUAGGGAACAUGGAUUGGUGGGAAAGACACAGGAGGCAACAAAAAUAGUGGAGGAGUGAUGGCAAUAGCUCAGGUCAGGGGUGAAUGUGUCAGAACCAGGGAAGUGGCAGGAAUCAUGAAGAGAAGCUGGUGGAAUUCAGGGAGCAAAACCGACAGGAUGUGUUAGUUAAUAUAAUUGAGAAGUGAGGCAAGGAAAAAUAGAGUACGGAUCCCAUGCUUAUGAUCGAAAUGUGGUCCUCAGGUACAAGCAUGGCUCAAAAUGUCAUAUUAAGUUGUUUUUAUUCUCUGACAACAUUCCCCAACAGACAAAACAGUACUUUUCUGAGCUUUAACUCUAUAUCUUGUCUUGCUUUGCUCAGAGGUGAUCUUCCGAAAAUCAAACUUAAAAAGAAAUCCAUCUGUCCAGCCCAUGUGUAAAUCCAAUCCUUGCCACUCCUGUGCUCUCAAAAUUAAGUUCAAGCCCCUUAACAUGGAUUGCAUAUUACAUGAUUUGGUCUCUGCCUGUCUUCCUAGCUUUAGGUACCCACUAUUCCCAAUCCCUUUUCCCUGUACACUAAUGAUCCAAUCACAAUGCACUUCUCUUUUCUUUGACCUCUGUAUCAUUGAAACGGCAGUUUCCUUUGCCAGGAACCACCACCACAUACACGCAUAUACACACGCAAACACAGCAUACUACUUCCUGGCAAACUCCUACUCAUGUUCAAAGCAUGCUUGAAACGUCAUGUCCUUUGUUCAUCCUCCUCCAUUACUGCCAUCCCUCAAAUGCUGAAUUUAUUCCACAUCUUCUCUCCUUAGAUCUUUUCCAUUUACUCAAUUACAACACAUGCUACUCUUAUUUCUGUUAAAAAAAAAAUUUCAUUUAGCCAAACACUAUGCCAGUGGCGAAGGGUAUAUUGAUAAACAGCACCGUCUAAGUUGCUACUAUCUUAGAACUUACUUCGGGGGGGGGGUGGGGUGUCAAGACAGGCCACCCAAAGAUAUGCCCCAGUGGCAUAUUGAUUAUUUUGAAUUAAAGCUACAGCUGGCUCAGGGUGAAAGGCUAUUGAAAACAACAACAAUACUCUGACCCUU
rnacentral:lncRNA from 1 species